rnacentral:rRNA from 1 species
UGGGGAAUAUUGCGCAAUGGGCGGAAGCCUGACGCAGCGACGCCGCGUGGGGGAUGACGGCCUUCGGGUUGUAAACCUCUUUCAGCAGGGACGAAGUUGACGUGUACCUGCAGAAGAAGCGCCGGCUAACUACGUGCCAGCAGCCGCGGUAAUACGUAGGGCGCAAGCGUUGUCCGGAAUUAUUGGGCGUAAAGAGCUCGUAGGUGGCUGGUCGCGUCUGCCGUGAAAGCCCGCAGCUUAACUGCGGGUCUGCGGUGGAUACGGGCCGGCCAGAGGUAGGUAGGGGCAAGUGGAAUUCCUGGUGUAGCGGUGAAAUGCGCAGAUAUCAGGAGGAACACCGGUGGCGAAGGCGGCUUGCUGGGCCUUACCUGACGCUGAGGAGCGAAAGCGUGGGGAGCGAACAGGAUUAGAUACCCUGGUAGUCCACGCUGUAAACGUUGGGCGCUAGGUGUGGGGAUCUUCCACGAUCUCCGUGCCGGAGCUAACGCAUUAAGCGCCCCGCCUGGGGAGUACGGCCGCAAGGCUAA